AGCGAACGCUGGCGGCAGGCUUAACACAUGCAAGUCGAGCGGGCAUCCUUGUGGUGUCAGCGGCAGACGGGUGAGUAACGCGUGGGAACGUGCCCUUCGGUUCGGAAUAACUCAGGGAAACUUGAGCUAAUACCGGAUACGUGCGAGAGCAGAAAGGUUUAUCUGCCGAAGGAUCGGCCCGCGUCUGAUUAGCUAGUUGGUGAGGUUAUGGCUCACCAAGGCGACGAUCAGUAGCUGGUCUGAGAGGAUGAUCAGCCACACUGGGACUGAGACACGGCCCAGACUCCUACGGGAGGCAGCAGUGGGGAAUAGUGGACAAUGGGGGCAACCCUGAUCCAGCCAGGCCGCGUGAGUGAUGACGGCCUUAGGGUUGUAAAGCUCUUUUCUCCGGGACGAUAAUGACGGUACCGGAGGAAUAAGCCCCGGCUAACUUCGUG
rnacentral:rRNA from 1 species